rnacentral:tRNA from 1 species
GGCGACAUAGCCAAGCGGUAAGGCAGUGCUCUGCAAAAGCGCUAUUCCCCAGUUCAAAUCUGGGUGUCGCCUCCA